UACGUAGGGGGCGAGCGUUGUCCGGAAUUAUUGGGCGUAAAGCGCGCGUAGGCGGGAUAGUGAGUCUGUUGUAAAAGCGCGGGGCUCAACCCCGGAAGGUCAAUGGAAACUGCUAUUCUUGAGUGCAGGAGAGGAAAGUGGAAUUCCCGGUGUAGCGGUGAAAUGCGUAGAUAUUGGGAGGAACACCAGUGGCGAAGGCGGCUUUCUGGACUGUGUCUGACGCUGAGGCGCGAAAGCGAGGGGAGCGAACGGG
rnacentral:rRNA from 1 species